GAUGAACGCUGGCGGCGUGCCUAAUACAUGCAAGUCGAGCGAACAGUUGAGGAGCUUGCUCCUCUGACGUUAGCGGCGGACGGGUGAGUAACACGUGGAUAACCUACCUAUAAGACUGGGAUAACUUCGGGAAACCGGAGCUAAUACCGGAUAAUAUAUUGAACCGCAUGGUUCAAUAGUGAAAGACGGUUUUGCUGUCACUUAUAGAUGGAUCCGCGCCGCAUUAGCUAGUUGGUAAGGUAACGGCUUACCAAGGCAACGAGGCGUAGCCGACCUGUGAGGGGGAUCGGCCACACUGGAACUGAGACACGGUCCAGACUCCUACGGGAGGCAGCAGUAGGGAAUCUUCCGCAAUGGGCGAAAGCCUGACGGAGCAACGCCGCGUGAGUGAUGAAGGUCUUCGGAUCUUAAAACUCUGUUAUUAGGGAAGAACAAAUGUGUAAGUAACUAUGCACGUCUUGACGGUACCUAAUCAGAAAGCCACGGCUAACUACGUG
rnacentral:rRNA from 1 species